rnacentral:tRNA from 1 species
GGGCGGUUAGCUCAGCUGGUAGAGCAUCUCGUUUACCCCGAGAGGGUCGGCGGUUCGAACCCGUCACCGCCCACCA